UACGUAGGGUGCAAGCGUUAAUCGGAAUUACUGGGCGUAAAGCGUGCGCAGGCGGUGAUGUAAGACAGUUGUGAAAUCCCCGGGCUCAACCUGGGAACUGCAUCUGUGACUGCAUCGCUGGAGUACGGCAGAGGGGGAUGGAAUUCCGCGUGUGGCAGUGAAAUGCGUAGAUAUGCGGAGGAACACCGAUGGCGAAGGCAAUCCCCUGGGCCUGUACUGACGCUGAGGAGCGAAAGCAUGGGGAGCGAACAGG
rnacentral:rRNA from 1 species